UAAGGGGUUGUUGUGUGAAAGGGCCCUUUAAAAUGUUUGUUGGGCCCGCAACCGCCGCGUUACCAGUGAGCGGGAGGCCCAGGGGAGUAAUUUCUUGGGCCCGAAAGGCCCCGGGGUAAUUCUUUGUUAAAAUUCCCUCGUGUUGGGAUAAAACCAUUGCAAUAAUUGGCUCUUGAAGGAGGAAUCCCUAGUAAGCGCAAGGUAAUCAGCUGCGGUUGAUUACGUCCCGGCCCUUGGUACACACCGCCCGUCGUAUACGAUUGAAUGGCUCAGUGAGGCGUCCGGACUGGCCCCAGGGAGGUGGGCAACUACCACCCAGGGCCGGAAAGCUCUCCAAACUCGGUCAUUUAGAGGAAGUAAAAGUCGUAACAAGGUCUCCGUUGGUGAACCAGCGGAGGGAUCAUUACCGAGUUAUCCAACUCCCAACCCCUGUGAAUUAUACCUUUAAUUGUUGCUUCGGCGGGACUUCGCGCCCGCCGGGGACCCAAACCUUCUGAAUUUUUUAAUAAGUAUCUUCUGAGUGGUUAAAAAAAUGAAUCAAAACUUUCAACAACGGAUCUCUUGGUUCUGGCAUCGAUGAAGAACGCAGCGAAAUGCGAUAAGUAAUGUGAAUUGCAGAAUUCAGUGAAUCAUCGAAUCUUUGAACGCACAUUGCGCCCGUCAGUAUUCUGGCGGGCAUGCCUGUUCGAGCGUCAUUACGCCCCUCAAGUCCCCUGUGGACUUGGUGUUGGGGAUCGGCGAGGCUGGUUUUCCAGCACAGCCGUCCCUUAAAUUAAUUGGCGGUCUCGCCGUGGCCCUCCUCUGCGCAGUAGUAAAACACUCGCAACAGGAGCCCGGCGCGGUCCACUGCCGUAAAACCCCCCAACUUUUUAUAGUUGACCUCGAAUCAGGUAGGACUACCCGCUGAACUUAAGCAUAUCAAUAAGCGGAGGAAAAGAAACCAACAGGGAUUGCCCCAGUAACGGCGAGUUGAAGCCGGCAACAGCUCAAAUUUGAAAUCUGGUCCCAGGGCCCGAGUUGUAAUUUGCAAGAGGAUGCUUUUGGUGAGGUGCCUUCCGAGUUCCCUGGAACGGGAACGCCAUAAGGGUGAGAAGCCCCGUCUUGGUUGGAUACCGAACCCUUCUGUUAAAGCUCCUUCGACAAGUCCAAGUUAGUUUGGGGAAUUGCUGCUCUAAAUUGGGGAGGUUAUAUGUCUUCUAAACUAAAUUUUGGCCAAAAAACCCA
rnacentral:rRNA from 1 species